ensembl:miRNA
CUUCGAUCUUUGUCAUGGUGUGCGGGAUCUUUAGUUGUGGUGUGCAAACUCUCAGUUGCAGCUUGUGGGAUCCAGUUCCAUGACCAAGGAUUGGACC